AAGGGUAUAGCUCAAUGGUAGUAUGUGCUUAACACGCACAAGGGCCUGGGUUCAAUCCCCAAUACCUCCA
rnacentral:tRNA from 1 species